CCUACGGGAGGCAGCAGUGGGGAAUCUUGCGCAAUGGGCGAAAGCCUGACGCAGCAACGCCGCGUGCGGGAAGAAGGCCUUCGGGUUGUAAACCGCUUUCAGCAGGAACGAAAAUGACGGUACCUGCAGAAGAAGGAGCGGCCAACUACGUGCCAGCAGCCGCGGUGACACGUAGGCUCCAAGCGUUGUCCGGAUUUAUUGGGCGUAAAGAGCUCGUAGGCGGUUCAGUAAGUCGGGUGUGAAAACUCUGGGCUCAACCCAGAGCCUGCAUUCGAAACUGCUGUGACUAGAGUUUGGUAGGGGAGCGGGGAAUUCCUAGUGUAGCGGUGAAAUGCGCAGAUAUUAGGAGGAACACCGGUGGCGAAAGCGCCGCUCUGGGCCAAUACUGACGCUGAGGAGCGAAAGCGUGGGUAGCAAACAGGAUUAGAUACCCUGGUAGUCCACGCCGUAAACGAGUGGCGACUAGGUGUGGGUUCGUAACUAACGAAACUACCGUCGCCGUCGCUACGACAUUAAGUAGCCCGCCGUCGGGUAGGUACGGUCGCGAACGAACUAAAACUUAAACUAGUAAUUAGUACGGCGUGAGACGUGCCGAACGGACGACGACGAGGGAGUAGG
rnacentral:rRNA from 1 species